CCGCAUUAGUAUUUUCAUUCUUUAAGGAAAUAGGUAAAAUAUAUCUACUCUCCUCAACAAGGCAAUAUUGCCUACUUCAAAUUGAAGAAGUAUAUAACCACAAGGUGUGGUGUAGUUAGCAAAUUGCCACCUCUAGCUGGCGAACUACCUGGUGCCUCAAUGGUAGAGGUUCAAAAUCCGUUAGAAGCACUUCAUAGCUAGGCCAAGCUGAACCCUGAGCGGGGAUUAAUCCCACUCUUCUGGUGUGUGGGUACACCUCAUGGUAUUUACCCUAAAAUAAAAUAAAAUAAAGAGGUAUAUUGGGUCCCAGUUGCUUUUUAUAAUAAAAUAUCAUCUCCACUCUCUCAUCUACUUUCUAUAAAAUAAAAUAGUAAGUGUAAAAUAUAAAUAUAAAUAAUAUAAUAAUGGUAUGUAGACUUGCAUUGUCUAGUCCCUUGGAGUAACCAACUUUUUUCAUGAGGCAAAUGGAUAGGCAACAUGCCACUUCAGUUGUUAUAAUACAAUUUUGCCUAUUUCAUUUUCCAGCAAUCCAACGGCAGCCAUUUUUCCCCGAAUAAAAAAAUCGAAACCGCACCCCCCAACGGCUCUCUUCCACGUGACUCCUUCUGGGCUCUCCAAUCUCUUUUUUCCAGAAAUCCAAC
rnacentral:lncRNA from 1 species